rnacentral:rRNA from 1 species
AGGCAGCAGUGGGGAAUAUUGCACAAUGGGGGAAACCCUGAUGCAGCCAUGCCGCGUGUGUGAAGAAGGCCUUCGGGUUGUAAAGCACUUUCAGCGACGAGGAAGGGUGUUGUAUUAAUAGUGCAGCACAUUGACGUUAGUCGCAGAAGAAGCACCGGCUAACUCCGUGCCAGCAGCCGCGGUAAUACGGAGGGUGCAAGCGUUAAUCGGAAUUACUGGGCGUAAAGCGUACGUAGGCGGCGUGUUAAGCAAGAUGUGAAAGCCCCGGGCUCAACCUGGGAAUUGCAUUUUGAACUGGCAUGCUAGAGUCCUGAAGAGGGUGGUAGAAUUUCCAGUGUAGCGGUGAAAUGCGUAGAUAUUGGAAGGAAUACCAGUGGCGAAGGCGGCCACCUGGUCAGAGACUGACGCUGAGGUACGAAAGCGUGGGGAGCAAACAGGAUUAGAUACCCGUGUAGUC